rnacentral:lncRNA from 1 species
UUUGAUUUUAUGAAUGUAAUAAAGGAUUUGUGAAUUCAUGUGAAAGGAAAAUGGUUUUCUAUCCCUCGUGGUAGCGAGUUUUAAAAAGAAAAGAUUUCUGUAUGGGAAACAGUUUUUAAAAGGUUUUCUUGGUUUUCAUGACUUAGUGUUUUAAAACGAGUUUCCGGGUAGGAAACAUUUCAAACUAAUAGUUGUCGAUUUGUGGUUAAACUCUAAAUGUGAAUCUGAAUGUGAAUGGUGUAUAAAUAUAUGAAUGUAUGUAUAUUCAUAUGUAGUGGUUGUAUCCUAUUUUAUGUGUCUUGUAUUUGUGCGACGCCGUGCACAUACAGGGGAGACUCUGUUCGUGUGAACAGUGGACUCUCUGUAUUUGUAGCGGAUCUGGCAUACCCUGGGAGUCAGGUUUCUCAAAAAAAAAAAAUUG